rnacentral:tRNA from 1 species
GGGAUUGUAGUUAAUUAUAACAUUUGGAUUGCAUACAAAAAGUAUUGAAUUUUCAAUCUAUCUCA